GAGGUAAGAAAUGAAAUGUAGGAGGUUGUGGGCCCACCAUAAAAUAAAAAAAAAAGUCAUAAGGUGGUUUGAUAGUAAGGGCAAAAGAGGUUGAGGAUAAAGUCUUACUCAUAACAAAAAUACUAACAACUAACGACUAACCAUUGCAGAUAAAAAACAAUAAUAAUAAUAAUUCUAUUUACUCAUUAGGGCAUUAUGACAAACAUAUGGUGGGGCAGUCUCAAAAUAUACUCCCAAAUGCAAAAUGCAAUUACUACUCCAAUUGGCCUAUUAUAAUUUUAGUUUUCAGACGCAGUGAAUAGAGAAUGGAAGACACCGAGCAAAGAGAGAACAUAAGAGAUGACAUUCCGUUCAGAUCUAAGGUUUAUGAUUGAUGAAGGAAUAUAUGGCUUUUAUCCACGAGUGAUGGUU
rnacentral:lncRNA from 1 species